AAGUCGUAACAAGGUUUCCGUAGGUGAACCUGCGGAAGGAUCAUUAACACGUAUCCAAACGUUAAAACCCCCCCCGUGAACCUUCAUCCUGCUCUUGUAACCCGCGUAGUUCGCAAUCUCUGAUAAAUCAUAGCCCGGAAAGCUGUAGUGAUUCAGGGACCUCUGGCUACAGUCAGUGUCGGAAAGUGUCAUUGAUUGUGCAAGGAUAGCGCUUCUACGAUUCCUGUAGACCGUACACUCGGGCAGAAGCUUUGCCAAAGCGUCCCCAUGCCCCCUAAUAACCCCACAGUUUAAUGUGAAGCUCAAUGUAAUACAUUGGGUAAAAAAACAGAACAACUGUUAACAAUGGAUAUCUUGGUUCUC
rnacentral:misc_RNA from 1 species